AGAUAGAUAAAUCACAGCUCUCCCAACAGUGCACACAGGAGUCGCCUGCGCCUUUUUACGUCAUUUUUGAGGCCUACUCUCGCUCCUGCUCCCCCCAGGUGAUGCUAACCGGAAAGCUGGCCCUCACCCAGGGUCCCUGACCAGCGGGGCUGGGGCAGCUCCAGCUAGCGGUAGAUUGGCAUGGAAGGCUGGGUUCCCCAGACCCGGCGGCGGACCCUCCGAAAAUCCUCGCGGCGGCCCUGCGUAGGCAAGGGGCCGAUGUCCACCCGGGGGCUCCCCCCACUGCGCCCCUGGACCUCGCUGGCCACGCAUGCGCACGCCCACGACCGGCGGACUAACGGACUGCAGCUCCCCCCACCGGAAGUGGACGGCGGAGCACCGGGAGGACCAGACCGUAGCGUGGCGUCUCGCGCUUCCCUCGGCGUGCCUUGGUGCGGGCCAGAGCCACGAAGGGGAUGAGGCUGCUCCUGCGCUCCGUCGCGCUGUGGCUCGCCCUGCUCGGCGCCAGCACGGCGACUGCGUCCAAGGCGGUGACCGCCCACUUGACUGCGAAGUGGCCCGAGACCCCGCUGCUGCUGGAGGCCAGUGAAUUUAUGGCAGAAGAAAGUAAUGAAAAGUUUUGGCAGUUUGUGGAAACAGUAAGAGAACUGGCAGUUUAUAAGCAGACAGAAUCAGAUUAUUCCUACUACAACCUAAUCCUGAAGAAAGCCGGACAGUUCUUAGACAACAUACACAUUAAUCUCCUAAAGUUUGCCUUCUCCAUAAGGGCAUACUCUCCAACCAUUCAGAUGUUCCAACAGAUGGCUGCUGAUGAGCCGCCCCCAGAGGGAUGUACUGCAUUUGUGGUUAUACACACGAAGUGCACCUGUAAAGUUAAUGAGAUUAAAAAGCUGCUGAAUAAGGCUGUUUCAAGGCCCAGGCCUUACCUAUUUGAAAGAGAUCAUAAGUUUCCCACAAGCAGUGACAACUUACCAGUGAUUGUUCUCUAUGCAGAGAUUGGUACAAGAGCAUUUGCUGAGUUUCAUAGAGUACUGUCUAAGAAAUCAAAAAAUGGUAAAAUCCUGUAUGUUCUCCGCCACUAUAUUCAGAAACCAAGCUCAAGAAAAAUGUACUUAUCUGGCUAUGGCGUGGAGCUAGCAAUUAAAGAUACAGAAUACAAAGCAUUGGAUGAUACCCAAAUUAAAACUACGACUGAUACUGAUAUAGAAAAUGAGACUGAAGUAGAUGAAGUUCAAGGAUUUCUUUUUGGGAAACUGAAAGAAAUAUAUUCAGAUCUUAAAGAUAAUCUGACAAUAUUCCAAAAGUACCUGAUUGAGAGCAGCAAAGAAAUGACUCCUUUGAAGGUCUGGGAAUUACAAGAUCUUAGUUUUCAAGCAGCCACUCAAAUAGUUUCCACUCCUGUUUAUGAUGCCAUAAAGUUAAUGAAAGACAUCUCACAGAACUUUCCUGUAAAAGCCAGGACUCUCACCAGGAUUGCUGUGAAUGAGCUAAUGAGAAAAGAAAUACAGGAAAAUCAGAAGGACCUACGAGAUAGAUUUGAAAUUAAGCCAGGUGAUGCUCGUCUGUUUAUAAAUGGCCUUCGUGUUGACGUGGAUGUUUAUGAUCCUUUUAGUAUUUUAGAUAUGCUGAAGUCAGAAGGAAAACUGCUGAGUGGCCUUAAAAGUCUUGGGCUCAGUGAAGAAGAGAGGAACAGAUUUUUAAAAUUAAAUUCACCUGUGUGGGACCAUGACUUUGUUUUAGACAUCCGGCAUUCUUCAAUAGUGUGGAUUAAUGACUUAGAAAAUGAUGGUUUGUAUAUUGAUUGGCCUUCAAGUUGUUGGGAAUUUCUAAAACCAGUAUUACAUGGAACAGUCCCUUCUGUGAGGCGUAACUUUCAUAAUUUGGUUCUGUUCAUUGAUCCUGCUCAAGAAUAUACCUUGGACUUUAUAAAUUUGGCAGAAUUUUUUUAUUUUAAUGAAAUUCCUCUUCGAAUUGGUUUUGUGUUCAUUCUUAACGUGGAUAAUGAGGUUGAUGGAACAACAGAUGCUGGUGUUGCUCUUUGGCGAGCUUUCAAUUAUAUUGAAGAAAAAUAUGACGUAUCAGAAGCAUUUAUUUCUAUGACACAUAUGUAUCAAGAAGUAAAGGGUCAUCGUAUACUCACUGUGGAUGAAGUCAAGAGUAUUCUUCAAAAUAAAUGUCCUCAUGCCGACAUUUUGGAUAUCUUGGGAAUCCAUUCCAAGUAUGAUGGAAGAAGAAUGGAAGGAGCAACCUUUUAUAAGAUGACUGGCCUAGGUCCUUUGCCUCAAGCUCUUUAUAACGGUGAACCCUUUGACCUCAAAGAGAUGAACACUGAAGAACUGAAAGGGGCUGUUCUGGAGAAAAUGGUGGGCACAUUUGUGGAUCUACAAAGAGAUGUUUUUAUGGGCACAAUAAGGGAUGAAACCAGUGCAAUUGAUUUCCUGAUGGAUAAGAGCAAUGUCGUAUCCCGGUUAAAUUCUCUGAUUUUGCAGACUGAACCACAGUACCUGAACUUAUUGUCUUCAUCGGUAACUGCUGAUAUUGAAGAUUUCUCUACUUUCUCUUUCUUGGAUUCACAAGAUAAGAGUGCUGUCAUAGCAAAGCACAUGCAUUACGUAACUCAAGAAGAUGCUGUAAUAUCUCCAGUCACUCUGUGGAUUAUUGCUGAUUUUGAUGUGCCGUCUGGGAGAAAACUGCUUUUUAAUGCAUUGAAGCACAUGGAAACAAGUUUUCAUAGUCGAUUAGGGAUUGUUUAUAAUCCCACAUCAAAGAUAAAUGAAGAGAGCACAGUCAUUUCUAGAGGAAUUUUGGCAGCUUUCCUUACACAUAAAAACAAGCACUUGAGAAGCUUUCUCAGGAGACUGGCAGAAGAAGAAACUGCUGAAGCGAUUUAUUCUGGGGAUAAAGUUCAAACAUUCCUUGCUGUGGAGAUGGAUAAGAAUGCUUUUGAGAAAAAAUAUAAUACCGUUGGAGUAAAUAUUUUCCGGACUCACCAGUUAUUCUGUCAAGAUGUUCUUAAAUUGCGACCUGGCGAGCCUGGGAUUAUCAGCAAUGGGAAAUUCUUAGGACCUUUAAGCGAUGAGCUCUACCAAGAAGAUUUUCACUUGCUGGAAAAGAUAACGUUCAGUAAUUCACUACAGAACAUCGCGGGCAUUGUUGAAAGUAUGGACAUGAACUCAAAACACAUGAGUGACCUGGUGAUGAAAAUAGAUGGGCUCAUGUCUUCAUUGGCUGUGCGUGCCUCUCGCUAUGAUGUCACAUUACUCAAAGAGAAUCUCAGGAUUUAGGUCAAUGGGAGACAGAUGAAGAGAAGAGGAGAGAAGGAGGUAAAGAGAGGACCCUGGACCCAAAGAAGCGACGAUGAUGACUGAGAGGCUUGUUAUAAAGAUAAAUCCCCCAGAGAAUGAUACGUUCUUUGAUGUCUUUGCUAUUGUUGAUCCUUUGACAAGAGAAGCUCAGAAGAUGGCACAGUUCCUGGUGGUGCUUGGGAAGAUUGUAAACGCGAGGAUAAAGCUGUUCAUGAACUGCAGGGGCAAACUCUCAGAAGCCCCGUUAGACAGCUUUUACCGUUUUGUUCUGGAGCCAGAGCUGACAUCAGGGCCUAACAAUCGUCCUUCUCAUGGGCCAGUGGCAAAGUUCCUGGACAUCCCAGAGUCCCACCUUCUGACUCUCAACAUGAUCACCCCAGAAGGAUGGCUGGUUGAAACAGUACAUAGCAACUGUGACCUUGAUAAUAUUAACUUAAAAGAUACUGAGAGAAGUGUGACAGCAGAGUAUGAACUAGAAUAUCUGCUACUUGAAGGACAUUGCUUCGACAUGACCACAGAACAGCCCCCACAGGGUCUGCAGUUCACGCUGGGCACAAGAAGCAAUCCUGUUGUAGUUGACACAAUAGUGAUGGCCAAUCUUGGAUAUUUUCAAUUAAAAGCAAACCCAGGUGCAUGGAUACUAAAAUUACGUGAAGGAAAAUCAGAAGAUAUUUAUGAAAUAACUGGGCAUGAAGGAGCAGAACCCGAGACCAACGUAGGCAAUGUCAUCGUCGUGUUAAACACUUUCAAAAGCAAGAUUCUGAAAAUACAGGUAAAGAAAAAAUCAGGUAAAAUUCAAGAAGAUGUCCUUGCUGAUAAACAUGAAAAUAGAGGCAUGUGGGAUUCAAUUAAAAGCUUCACAAAAAGUCUGCAUAAAGAUGAGAAAAAGGAAAAUGACAUCCUGAACAUUUUUUCAGUUGCUUCUGGCCAUUUAUAUGAGCGUUUUCUAAGGCCCCUGGAGGAGCAAAUCCACUGGGUUUGUGCGUUCUUCUUGCCUAAAUGUUAACAAGGUAUACACCAGUGAGCAGCUUGCUUUUUACAUGAUUAUGAUGCUUUCUGUUCUGCGGAACACCGAAACUCCCGUGAAGUUCUGGUUUCUGAAGAAUUACCUCUCGCCAACAUUUAAAGGCAUGGGAGUGGAAAACACAUGGACUGAGAUGACACAAUACAGGAUCCGUCCUAGCAGAUGCUAUCACUAAUUAGAAAAACCAUUCUCUGGAUAAAAACCUUGCAGCACUUCAUGGCAAAAGUAAUGCCUCUUCAAAACGGGGUUUUCCUUUCUGGUUUGCUUUUUCUCUCUGUUUCUUCUUCGUACGGUGCUUUCGUGCAUAACAUAAACACUGGUGAGUGCGCAGGUGUAAGCCUGUAGCUUUGCUCUGUUCACAGUAGCCAGGCCCUCCCUCCAGCCAGAAGGUCAUUGGCCUAACUACCUGUCUGUCUCAGUUCCUGAGGAGUCUGUUUGGGGAAGCAAGGCAGCAAGCAGUGGGCGUGAGCUGGAGCAGGAGGCUGAGCCACAAGCUUGAAGCAGUCUUUCAACACUCUCAAAGCCCGCCUCCAGUGACGUACUUCCUCCAACAGACACGUCUGCUGCCGCUCCCUCCCCUUCCUCCUUCACACACUCCCUUUCAGCUUGGGAACAAGUUUAUUAGAAUAGUAUUUAAGCAGUUUUCAGUUUCUUUAUAAUGAUUUAUAGUAAGCUUCUUCUAAAAUGUAUUGUUUGAUUUGUUAUAUGUGUCUAGGAGGUAAUUCCUCACAUGGCUAAGGAAUAUGGAUUCCAGUAUGAGCUUGUGCAGUAUAAGUGGCCCCACUGGCUUCAUCAACAGACUGACAAGCAGCGAAUCAUUUGGGGUUACAAAAUCCUUUUCCUUGAUGUCCUUUUCCCACUGGCUGUGGACAAAGUCAUAUUUGUUGAUGCUGACCAGAUCGUGAGACAUGACCUAAAAGAACUUCGAGAUUUUGAUCUGGGUGGAGCUCCUUAUGGAUAUACUCCAUUUUGCGAUAGCCGCACUGAAAUGGAUGGAUAUCGUUUCUGGAAAACAGGAUACUGGGCAUCGCACCUUGUUAAAAGGAAAUACCAUAUCAGUGCCUUGUAUGUGGUGGAUCUUAAGAAGUUCAGGAGAAUCUCAGCAGGUGACAGGCUCCGGGGCCAGUACCAAGCUCUCAGCCAGGAUCCAAACAGUCUCUCAAACCUUGAUCAGGAUCUUCCCAACAACAUGAUUUACCAAGUUGCCAUCAAGUCUCUUCCUCAAGACUGGCUGUGGUGUGAAACCUGGUGUGAUGACGAAUCUAAACAAAGAGCCAAGACGAUCGACCUGUGCAAUAAUCCCAAAACAAAAGAACCCAAACUAGAAGCUGCUGCAAGGAUCGUCCCAGAAUGGGUCACAUAUGAUACAGAAAUCCGGACACUAUUAGAUCAUCUUGAAAAUAAGAAGAAAAGUGCGAAUUCAGUUCAUGAUGAACUCUAGCGCGGGUCCAGAAGAUGAAACGUGAUAAAAAUCCGCCACCUGCUGGAGACCUGUGGAACUGCCACGACUAGUAGGCCAUUUCAUUCACGUUGUUGUCAUGAGGUUGACUGCUCAUAAGCUUUAUUUAAACACAUGGAAAGUUGUAAAUAACCUCAUUUAUGUGAUUGGUGGACUAGUCCUUUUACCAGCACUUAAGGUGCCGCCGCCGCCGCCGCUGCUGCUAUUGUUGUUGUUGUUGCUGUUUUCACCAGCUAAUUUGAUGUUCUCAGAUGUCCUUGAAGGUUUUUGAAGGUCCUUGUUGGUUUAGUAUUCCAGCUUCAAGUACACCUAUAUUUCCUUACUCAAAAAAUGCAUUUAAAAUUACAGAAAUUUGUACUUUUUAAGAAAAAGAACUCAUAGCUUUCUCUGAAUUAUUUAAAAGCAAGCCCAUUUUAUACUUUAACAAUCAUUAAAUGGAAGUCAUAUUGCACUGUAAUCAUUUAUCUUAAGUCAUAGAUUUUAAUCUUGUGCUAUAUUUAUGUUCUUCUGGAUGUUUGGUAGGCAUAAGCCAUACUGUAUGUUUAUUUAAAAGGACUAGAUAUAUAUUUCACAGAAAUAGGGUAAAGGACGUUAAACUGUGUAUGCCUAUAGAAACUAAGUAAAAGUUUUCCCUGCUGUGUUUAAGUAAAUAAAUAGGAAUACUAAAUAUUUUUAAACUACUCAAAUACUCUAUAUUUAUAGCAUCUUGGGACUAAAACAUACCUCAGUAUCUUUUAAAUGUCACCCGCCCAAGUGUGAUCUAGAUGUAUAACCUGUAGCCCCUUGGCUACAUGUGUGUGCUGGGCUGUAUACAUCCCAGGGAUAAUUCUGACUAAGGCCCAGCAUGGCAGGAGAUGCAGCAUCAUGUUGCAGUAGGAAAAGAAUGGACACCUCUGACAGGUCCCAUGUAACCACGGGAAUUCCUCCUCCUGUUUAAAAAGCUCUCCAGAUCCUUGAGAAACAGCUCAUAGAGCCUGGUGGCUGCCCAGUUCCUCACCUAGAGAUGGGCCGGCUCAUCUCAGGACAGGUUCGUACACAAAUUCCAUACUGAGGCAGUUCUCUGUGCCUUGGCUUCUUUCAGCUCUUCAGAAUUAAGAUUGUAAUCCUGAGUAUCUGAUGGUAUAGCCUAUAGAGAACUUGAAAAAUACACAUAUUUACCCAUUCUCUGUGACAGACUAUCCAAAAUAAACAGUUUACGGAAGAAAGGGUUUUUCACUCAGGAUUUCAGUCCAUGGACACUUUCCCACAUUGCUUUGGGCUCCUCCCUUAUGAGGAGGAGGAGGCUCACCUCAGCACUGCUGGGAACCAUGAGAUGAGAGAAUGGGACUAAGGUCUCUGUGCCCAUGAGGGCACCACCAAUAACCUUCUUUACUGGGUUUGAUCUCUUACAAGGUUCCAUCUCCCGCUUCACAGUAGGUGGCCCUUCAGCAUGGAACCUUAGGGGACAGUUACGAUCCAAACCUGAGCAAUCCCUUCCCCUGGCCACUCAUUCCAAUUAAGACAGUACCUUCCAUUCCCUCCUCGCUCACUGUAUUACUUAAGACAUCUCAAAUUAUAUUGCAAUUAAUUUCUGACAUAAAAUAUCAGAUUUGAAGCUGGGUGGUGGUUGUGCACACCUUUAAUCCUAGCACUCAGGAGUCAGGGACAGGUGGAUCUCUUGAGUUCAAGGCAAGCCUGGUCUACAGAGAGAGUUCAAGGACAGCCAGGCCUACACAGUGAAACUCUGCCUCUGGGGGGAAAAAUUUUUUUUUUGAUAGCUUCCUUUUCUCAUCUUGUGAUUUGAAAGAUUAAUUUACAUGUCUCAUUUCUAGAUGAGUAACAUGCUGGAAAAUCCAGAUUUUUUGAAUUGUGUCUUUCUUUGCAAGGACAUUUUUAAAUAAAAUGACCUGGGUUGGAUAGUUUUAUGUCAAGCUGACAGAAUCUAAAGUCAUCUGAGAGGAGGGAGCCUCAAUUUAGAAACUGUCCUUAUAAGAUGGGGCUGUAGGCAAGCCUACAGGUAAAUUUUCUUGAGAUUGAUAGUGGGAGGGCCAAGCCAAUUGAGGGUAGUUCCACCGUCCCUGGGCUGCUGUCCUGGGUUCUGUUAAGAAAGCAAAAUGAAUAAGCCAUGAGGAACCCUUCCAUUGCCUCUGCAUCAGCCCCUGCCUUCAGGUCCCUGCCAUGUGAGUUCCCAUUCUGAAAUUCUUCAGUGAACACUGUGAGAGUGUAAGCCACAUAAACCCUUUCCUCCCCAACUCGCUUCGGUUAUUGUGUUACAUGGCACCCAUUGAUAACCCUAACUAGGACAGAAAUCGGCACCCGGAGUGGGCUGACGCUGUGGCAGACCUGACCACAUUGUCUUAGGGGAGAUGAUUAGAGGUUUUGGAUCGCUGAAGUGGUCUUGUAGGAAGUGUUCCCCAUGUCACACACAAGCUGCUUUCUAGAGGCUGUACAGCCUGCUGGUAGCCAAGCUCAGCAAUGUCCAUCUCCCAGGUGUUGCUCCUCCUAAAGACAUGAAGUGGUCAGGGAGAGCAGCUGAGGUGUGGCACCAUCAAGAGGGCACAGGAGAGGCUACUAGGGAAUGUGCAGCCCAGUUGCAGCAGAGACCCCAGCGUUUUGGAGUCAACAGAAGCACGGGACAAACAGCAACAGCAGCAGCUGUGCAGUGGAGCUGGUCUGAGCCUAGAGGACAAGCUGUGUGUGCCGCAGAGAGCAGAGGCAGGGGAGUGACCCAAGCCCCUGCAGGAGUCCAGAAGAUCAUGAGUGAACACUGGGCAUUGAGUUAGUUAUACAGGUGGAGUUGUGUCUUGCUUUGAUCUAUGACUCUGCCCUGGUUCUUCCCUCUUGAAAUAAGAUUUUUUUUUUAACACUAUAGGGGCCUAACUUGAAAGACUUAUGAUUUUAAGACUCUGGAUUUUUUUUAAGACUGGAUUUUUAAAGUGUUUGAAUUUGUAAGAUUGUAAAAUGUUUUAUAUUGUGAUGUUUGCAUUAAUGUGUGAUCUUGGAAGUGAACAAAAAAGGUAGCGGCUUUACAGUGAUGUGCUUGUAUGUCAAAUUGAUAAGGGGUCAAUUAAACUGGAUACUUUUAUGUCAACUUGACAAAAGCUAAAGUUAUCUGAGAGGAAGGAACUUCAACUGAGAAAAUACCUCCAUAAAAUAGGCAAGCCUGUAGGGCAUUUUUUUUAAUUGUUGCUUGAUGGGGAAGGGCCCAGCCCAUUGUGGGUAGUGCCAUCCCUGGGCUGAUCUUCUACAAGAAAGCAGGCUAUGGAAGCCAAUAAGCAGCACACCACUAUGGUCUCUACAUCAACUCCUGCCUCCAGGUUCCUGCCCUGUUUGAGCUCUUGUCCUGACUUUCUGCAGUGAUGAACAGUGAUGUGGGAAGCCCUAAAGAACAGUAGGACACAUUUACCCAGGCCAGGCGGUGGUGCUGCAUGCCUUUCUACCCAGCACUCUGGAGUCCUAGACAGGUGGAUCUCUGAGCUCAAGGCCAGUCUGGUCUACCGAAUGAAUUCCAGGAGAGCCAGGGAUUUACCAAGAAACCCCGUCUUUAAAAAAACCCAACAACAACAUCCACGGACACUCCAGAACAACAACAUAGACUAACGCACCAGAGUGCUGGACUCAAAGGUACUGAUGACUCCGUGUGAGAAGCGAGAACUCUGGUGCUGCCCCAGCCUUUAUCUCCACCACUCUUACUGUAGUGGAUUUAAGUGAAAGCAAAGCUCCAAGGAAAUGAAGAGAGUUUGAAAGCAACCGACUUUCACAGCUUAGUUGUUUAUGACCAACGAUGAAGCUGGGAUGGUGGCUUGAGCGCGAGCAUCAGACUCUCAGGGAGCCGAGGCAGGCUUUUUGAAAGAAUGAUUACAAAAUGGAAAAAAGAAAGCAACUGAAGAGAAGUGAGGAACUACAACAUUUCCCGUGAGAGAGGGAUUUCCAAAGGCAGGUCACUGAACCUGCUUGGGUUUUGCUUCUUUAGGGCCAUGGCUUAAAGCAGACAAAAGCAGGAAGUGUGCAUGCUGAGAUGCUCAGAGUCUGUCUGCUAUGCACCCAGCUCCCUCCCACAGGAGGAGGGAAAACAGUUGGCCGGAACUGAGGGCGAGCGUGUGUGUGUGUGUGUGUGUGUGUGUGUGUGUGUGUGUGUGUGUGUGUGUGUGUGUGUGUGUGUGUGUGUGUGUGUGUGUGUGUGUGUGUGUGUGUCUGCUGAGGGAGUGUGUGUGUGUGUGUGUGUGUGUGUGUGUGUGUCUGCUGAGGGAGUGUGUGUGUGUGUGUGUCUGCUGAGGGAGAGCCAGAGGCUCUGGGAAAACAGUUGGCCGGAACUGAGGGCGAGCGUGUGUGUGUGUGUGUGUGUGUGUGUGUGUGUGUGUGUGUGUGUGUGUGUGUGUGUGUGUGUGUGUGUCUGCUGAGGGAGUGUGUGUGUCUGCUGAGGGAGAGCCAGAGGCUCUGGGAAAGAAUACUAUGUCCCCUCUGUUUCUCUGUCAGGCAGCGCCGGAACUGAGGGCGAGCGUGUGUGUGUGUGUGUGUGUGUGUGUGUGUGUGUGUGUGUGUGUGUGUGUGUCUGCUGAGGGAGUGUGUGUGUCUGCUGAGGGAGAGCCAGAGGCUCUGGGAAAGAAUACUAUGUCCCCUCUGUUUCUCUGUCAGGCAGCGCCAGCCUCAUUUACCUGCUGACAUCUCUGCUGUCAUGAUAUCAACACUACCACUAUGGAUUCAGAAGUUUCUAACCUUUCUAUAAAAGUUCUAUAUAAAUUUAAGUAUUUUGUUUUUCCUUCAAUAUAAAAUAUAUAACUGAAA